rnacentral:snoRNA from 1 species
GGUCAAUGAUGAACAGUAAAAGGUCUGAGAGCACAGGGGAAUCACGCUCCAUUACCUUUCAGGCUCCCAGCAGUCCCUGUUCUGUCAUGCUGUAGUAGAGCUAUGAUUGAGAAAGAGAUUGCUGACAGUGUAGGAUUAAUUCGGUUCCAGUUCUCCACAGUGAAGGGAGUUGUGGUACUGAAUGUCAUCCAACAGAACUGGUUUAAGAGGAGCUUGUGGUAGUGGGGUGUCAUAAUUUGUUGUGUGUGAUCUCAAGUUUUCAAGCUGAGACC